GCCCUUGUAGCUCAGCUGGUAGAGCAACGGACUCUUAAUCCGUCGGUCCAAGGUUCGAAUCCUUGCGGGGGCA
rnacentral:tRNA from 1 species